GGCAGAUAAAUAAGAAAGCAGGUUCUGGCUUCCAGGCAUUUACAGUCUAAAUAGAUAAGCACAAAAGGGGAAAUGACAACAGACAGUGGAAUGGAGUAGAGCUGGAAAGGAAACACCAGAAAACAAGGGGAAAGGGUAGAAAGCAAGGGUGAAACAGACAUCUAAGGCAUGGAGACGAGGGGCGUUGGUGUCUGGAGGAGAUUUUGGCAGAAGACAGGAAACCCUGAGAGGUGCAACCAAGAGGCCCUAUGCAUGACAAUGGA